AUACGUAGGGGGCGAGCGUUGUCCGGAAUGAUUGGGCGUAAAGGGCGCAUAGGCGGCGCGGUAAGUCUGGAGUGAAAGUCCUGCUUUCAAGGUGGGAAUUGCUUUGGAUACUGAUGGGCUUGAGUGCAGGAGAGGUUAUCGGAAUUCCCGGUGUAGCGGUGAAAUGCGUAGAGAUCGGGAGGAACACCAGUGGCGAAGGCGGGUAACUGGACUGCAACUGACGCUGAGGCGCGAAAGUGUGGGGAGCAAACAGGAUUAGAUACCCUGGUAGUCCACACUGUAAACGAUGAAUGCUAGGUGUAAGAGGUAUCGACCCCUUUUGUGCCGGAGUUAACACAAUAAGCAUUCCGCCUGGGGAGUACGGCCGCAAGGUUGAAACUCAAAGGAAUUGGCGGGG
rnacentral:rRNA from 1 species